CGGGGUGCACCAGGCGCGAAAACUUUACAAUGCCGGCAACGGCGAUAAGGGAACCUCGAGUGCCAGGUUACAAAUCUGGCUGUCGUGAUGCCUAAAAAGCAUUGCAUAGCAAGGGCCGGGCAAGACCGGUGCCAGCCGCCGCGGUAACACCGGCGGCUCGAGUGGUAACCGUUAUUAUUGGGUCUAAAGGGUCUGUAGCCGGCCGGGUAAGUCUCUUGGGAAAUCUGGCAGCUUAACUGUCAGGCUUUCAGGAGAUACUGCCUGGCUCGAGGCCGGGAGAGGUGAGAGGUACUUCAGGGGUAGGGGUGAAAUCUUGUAAUCCUUGAAGGACCACCAGUGGCGAAGGCGUCUCACCAGAACGGACCUGACGGCAAGGGACGAAAGCUAGGGGCACGAACCGGAUUAGAUACCCGGGUAGUCCUAGCCGUAAACGAUACUCGCUAGGUGUCGGCCACGGUGCGACCGUGGUCGGUGCCGUAGGGAAGCCGUGAAGCGAGCCACCUGGGAAGUACGGCCGCAAGGCUGAAACUUAAAGGAAUUGGCGGGGAGCAC
rnacentral:rRNA from 1 species